AUGAACGCUGGCGGCGUGCUUAACACCUACAAGUCGAACGGAAAGGCCCAAGCUUGCUUGGGUACUCGAGUGGCGAACGGGUGAGUAACACGUGGGUGAUCUGCCCUGCACUUCGGGAUAAGCCUGGGAAACUGGGUCUAAUACCGGAUAGGACGAUGGUUUGGAUGCCAUUGUGGAAAGUUUUUUCGGUGUGGGAUGAGCUCGCGGCCUAUCAGCUUGUUGGUGGGGUAAUGGCCUACCAAGGCGUCGACGGGUAGCCGGCCUGAGAGGGUGUACGGCCACAUUGGGACUGAGAUACGGCCCAGACUCCUACGGGAGGCAGCAGUGGGGAAUAUUGCACAAUGGGCGCAAGCCUGAUGCAGCGACGCCGCGUGGGGGAUGACGGCCUUCGGGUUGUAAACUCCUUUCGCUAGGGACGAAGCGUUUUUGUGACGGUACCUGGAGAAGAAGCACCGGCUAACUACGUG
rnacentral:rRNA from 1 species